CACCGGCGGCUCGAGUGGUGGCCGCUUUUAUUGGGUCUAAAGCGUCCGUAGCCGGCUUGGCAAGUCCCCUGGGAAAUCUGGCGGCUUAACCGUCAGGCGUCCAGAGGAUACUGCCAGGCUUGGGACCGGGAGAGGUGAGAGGUACCUCAGGGGUAGGGGUGAAAUCGUGUGAUCCCUGAGGGACCACCAGUGGCGAAGGCGUCUCACUAGAACGGGUCCGACGGUCAGGGACGAAAGCUGGGGGCACGAACCGG
rnacentral:rRNA from 1 species